ensembl:snoRNA
AAAUCAGGUUGCAAUUAUAGUGCUUCAUUUUCUGGAGCACUGCCAUUAUCCUGCUGAAAGAAUACCUGUGUUAAUCAUUUUUUAUUUUGCCUUUAUGAGGGUAAAAUAAUGACAGAAUGAAACGGACAAUU